UACGAAGGGGCUAGCGUUGCUCGGAAUCACUGGGCGUAAAGGGUGCGUAGGCGGGUCUUUAAGUCAGGGGUGAAAUCCUGGAGCUCAACUCCAGAACUGCCUUUGAUACUGAAGAUCUUGAGUUCGGGAGAGGUGAGUGGAACUGCGAGUGUAGAGGUGAAAUUGUAGAUAUUCGCAAAGAACACCAGUGGCGAAGGCGGCUCACUGGCCCGAUACUGACGCUGAGGCACGAAAGCGUGGGGAGCAAACAGG
rnacentral:rRNA from 1 species